CGGAUGAACGCUGGCGGCGUGCUUAACACAUGCAAGUCGAACGGUGAAGGAGGAGCUUGCUCUUCUGGAUCAGUGGCGAACGGGUGAGUAACACGUGAGCAAUCUGCCCUUGACUCUGGGAUAACAGUUGGAAACAGCUGCUAAUACCGGAUACGAGACGUGACCGCAUGGUCAACGUCUGGAAAGAACUUCGGUCAAGGAUGAGCUCACGGCCUAUCAGCUAGUUGGUGAGGUAAUGGCUCACCAAGGCGACGACGGGUAGCCGGCCUGAGAGGGUGACCGGCCACACUGGGACUGAGACACGGCCCAGACUCCUACGGGAGGCAGCAGUGGGGAAUAUUGCACAAUGGGCGAAAGCCUGAUGCAGCAACGCCGCGUGAGGGACGACGGCCUUCGGGUUGUAAACCUCUUUUAGCAAGGAAGAAGCGAAAGUGACGGUACUUGCAGAAAAAGCGCCGGCUAACUACGUG
rnacentral:rRNA from 1 species